UUUUAUCUCAAUUUUUUGUUAUUGAUUCAUUUAUUUAGUGAAUUUAUUUGCUGGAAGUUGGUUCAAUAGCUGUUCCUUUUAAUUGAAUGCCAAAGUUUCAGAUUUUUUUUUUUAACAGAAUAGCCAAGAGCUAAAAUUUUGUUGUGAGUUAGAAUUGCUCGUGUUGCUUUGGAACUCAGUGAAUUGAAGUUUAAAUUUGGAGUGUUGAGCGAUUCACCCGUUAAAUUUAGCCAGUCUCAUUAGUCUGUGUACGCCAUUAUAGAAAUACAGCAGGAAAUUAGUUUUUCUGAAGAAAAUGGAGUCUCUGAGGGGUUAUGCUGUUAGGGCCAAUGAGGCAUCUUUUCUGAAUGCCCUCAUGUUAUUGGAAAUAUUAACAAUCUCUUAUGGUUGCUUCUUCAUGAUCAGCAGUGGCAUUUCUGUCUCCCAAGACAAAUAUUUGGCCCGCUGAACUCACAAUUGUGCGUUUGAUUUUUUGUGUUAGUUUGAUCACAUUUCUGUUAUAUGUAAUGGAAUAACCUUCUGAACUUAUAAAGUCUAUCUAUUUGUAACUCCUACAUGGUGUUUCUUUUCUGUACUUAUGCUAGAGAACUUGAAUUUAAAUUAGACAUGAAUUAAAUUUGCACGAGUUAAUUUCUUUUGGUGGAUUCUUCAAUCUUUGUCAUUUUUUCCUAUCCCAAAUAAUAGGAUGCAGGUAAUAUAAAGUGUUUUAAACCUUAGAUAUAUGAUCUCUCCCCUGACACCCAUCUUAAUCAGUGCAUUUUUUGAACUGAUUUCCUGGUUUUAUGAAGUUCAGUUUAUGAGUUUUGAGUACCAUGUAGAAAUGCAACUUAGCUACUCUCUGUUAGAGAUAUUCUCGGUGGUCCAUUUGUAGGGCUCUCUCCUAGCACUUACAAGAUUUUCUAUGAAUAAUAUGCCAGACAUAAUACUAAUUUAUUUUCGUUCUAUGCUGCUUUCUAUUGUUUGCUUAAGUUGUUUUUGCAUAUGCAAGUCAGUUCUACCAUUCAUUGGAUAUUUGGGAUACAAGGGAGAAUAACCAAAACAUAGAUAGUUUUAUUUGAUAGCUCAUUCCUUGUUAAGAUCAUUCAUCUAGUUUUAUGUUUGAUUGUCUAGUUUCUCUUCUUUAGUGUUUGUUGGUUUUUUGAAUGGUGACCGUAUCUGGACUUUUGUUUUAUGUCUGCAGAGGCUUUGGAAUUUCUCAACAG
rnacentral:misc_RNA from 1 species